GCAGGAGUGAAUCAUACACAUUUCAAUGGAAAAAUGGGAAGUCAGAGGUCACAAUUGCUGUGGAAUACAUCUUAAGGAAGAAUCAAUAUCAAAAUGAUCAUUAAAGGUACCAUGGAGUUCACAGGGGCCAGAGCAAUAACACUUCAGGAUGCUGAAAAAGAGGCAGCAAUAUUUUUCUCUGUAGUCCCUAGAGUUGAACAGACACAUUUCAAACCUCAUUCAAGUUUAGGACUUUUUGAAAACGUUGGCAUUGCGAGUAAGAGGAUGUGCUUGGAUAAAAAUGUUGCCAUUAAGAAUGGGAGAAUGUGCUUGGAAUCUUAGUCUUGUGCAUUGAAGAAGGAGAAGAAAGAGGAAGAAGUAGAACCAUAAGACCUAUCAACUACUGAGAGGAAUGUUUUAAAAUCCAUGUCCAUGUGCAGAAACUUUCUUCAUUUUGAAUUAG
rnacentral:lncRNA from 1 species